AGUGAACGCUGGCGGUAGGCCUAACACAUGCAAGUCGAACGGCAGCACAGUAAUAGCUUGCUCUUACGGGUUGCGAGUGGCGGACGGGUGAGGAAUACAUCGGAAUCUACUUUUUCGUGGGGGAUAACGUAGGGAAACUUACGCUAAUACCGCAUCCGACCUACGGGUGAAAGCAUGGGAUCUUCGGACCUUGCGCGAUUGAAUGAGCCGAUGUCGGAUUAGCUAGUUGGCGGGGUAAAUGCCCACCAAGGCGACGAUCCGUGGCUGGUCUGAGAGGAUGAUAAGCCACACGGGAAGUGAGACGGGGUCCAGAGGCCUAAGGGAGGCAGCAGUGGGGAAUAGUGGGCAAUGGGCGCAAGCCUGAUCCAGCCAUACCGAGUGGGUGAAGAAGGCCUUCGGGUUGUAAAGCCGUUUUGUUGGGAAAGAAAAGCAGCAGGUUAAGACCCCGCUGUUGUGACGGUACCCAAAGAAUAAGCACCGGCUAACUUCGUG
rnacentral:rRNA from 1 species